UACGUAGGGUGCGAGCGUUAAUCGGAAUUACUGGGCGUAAAGCGUGCGCAGGCGGUUGUGCAAGACAGAGGUGAAAUCCCCGGGCUUAACCUGGGAACUGCAUUGGUGACUGGCAGGCUAGAGUAUGGCAGAGGGAGGUAGAAUUCCACGUGUAGCAGUGAAAUGCGUAGAGAUGUGGAGGAAUACCGAUGGCGAAGGCAGCCUCCUGGGCCAAUACUGACGCUCAUGCACGAAAGCGUGGGGAGCAAACAGG
rnacentral:rRNA from 1 species